rnacentral:misc_RNA from 1 species
GACGAACCGUGCGAACGUUGUUCGGAAUCACUGGGCUUAAAGGGCGCGUAGGCGGGCCAGCGAGUCCGCGGUGAAAUCCCCCGGCCCAACCGGGGAAGUGCCGUGGAUACCGCUGGCCUCGAGGGGGGUAGGGGCACGCGGAACUUCCGGUGGAGCGGUGAAAUGCGUAGAGAUCGGAAGGAACGCCGGUGGCGAAAGCGGCGUGCUGGACCCCUUCUGACGCUGAGGCGCGAAAGCCAGGGGAGCGAACGGG